rnacentral:rRNA from 1 species
UCCGACCUCAGAUCGGACGAGAUUACCCGCUGA